rnacentral:rRNA from 1 species
AAUAGAUACCCCUGGUAGUCCACGCCGUAAACGAUGAGUGCUAAGUGUUAGGGGGUUUCCGCCCCUUAGUGCUGCAGCUAACGCAUUAAGCACUCCGCCUGGGGAGUACGGUCGCAAGACUGAAACUCAAAGGAAUUGACGGGGGCCCGCACAAGCGGUGGAGCAUGUGGUUUAAUUCGAAGCAACGCGAGGAACCUUACCAGGUCUUGACAUCCCGUUGACCACUGUAGAGAUAUAGUUUCCCCUUCGGGGGCAACGGUGACAGGUGGUGCAUGGUUGUCGUCAGCUCGUGUCGUGAGAUGUUGGGUUAAGUCCCGCAACGAGCGCAACCCUUGAUCUUAGUUGCCAUCAUUUAGUUGGGCACUCUAAGGUGACUGCCGGUGACAAACCGGAGGAAGGUGGGGAUGACGUCAAAUCAUCAUGCCCCUUAUGACCUGGGCUACACACGUGCUACAAUGGACGAUACAAACGGUUGCCAACUCGCGAGAGGGAGCUAAUCCGAUAAAGUCGUUCUCAGUUCGGAUUGUAGG